rnacentral:lncRNA from 1 species
GUAUAGAUUGGUUUCUUUAACUAAGAAUAAUUGUUACGUUCUUUAACAGGUUUUGGAAUAGGUCUCAUGAAGUCAUGAAAAAUUCCACUUUUGAUGUCAACUUAUAAAUACCUCGUACGAUUAGUUGAAAACUUCAUAUAAUUUUCAUUUAGACGUGGACGAAUGUCUCUCAAACUCGACAUGCAACGCGAGUGCAACAUGUAACAACACAGAAGGAUCUUAUACAUGCACGUGUGAUUCUGGAUACAGUGGUGAUGGAUUUUCUUGCGUUGGUAUGCACAGCAUUGAGUUAUUAAUUAUUUUAACCGCCAGAAUAACUAGGAACCUGUUAUUAUAUAGUUUGACCAAAUCCAAAACUGUUGCAGAAAAUGCAACUAUUGGCACUUUAGCUGUUUAGCAGGAGUCAUACCUGCAACACUACUUUACCGGUGCAGCUCUAUAACCAACAGAGCUAUACGCAGCGACAGUUGUUCAGCUCUAACAAAAAAACGUGUAUAAAGACAAAGUUGGUCCCAAUGUACGCUGUAUGGUUAAAUAGCGACAUUUUGGGAAUCGCGCUCGCUAUGACCCCUUGUUGAAGGGAUUUAAAAGACUGACUGGGCCGUAGGUUGGUUUCUUUAAACGAGAAUAAUUGUUACGGUUUUUUUAACAGCUUUUGGAAUAGGUCUCACUAAGUCAUGAAAAAUUCCACUUUUAUGAUUACCUCGUACGAUUAGUUGAAAUCUUCAUAUAAUUUUCAUUUAGACGUGGACGAAUGUCUCUCAAACUCAACAUGCAACGCGAGUGCAACAUGUAACAACACAGAAGGAUCUUAUACAUGCACGUGUGAUUCUGGAUACAGUGGGGAUGGAUUAUCUUGCGUUG